rnacentral:rRNA from 1 species
GGAUCCAGACUUUGAUCCUGGCUCAGGAUGAACUUUAGCUACAGGCUUAACACAUGCAAGUCGAGGGGAAACGAUAUUGGAAGCUUGCUUCCGAUAGGCGUCGACCGGCGCACGGGUGAGUAACGCGUACCCAACCUGCCCAUCACUUGGGGAUAACCUUGCGAAAGUAAGACUAAUACCCAAUGACGUCUCUAGAAGACAUCUGAAAGAGAUUAAAGAUUUAUCGGUGAUGGAUGGGGAUGCGUCUGAUUAGCUUGUUGGCGGGGUAACGGCCCACCAAGGCGACGAUCAGUAGGGGUUCUGAGAGGAAGGUCCCCCACAUUGGAACUGAGACACGGUCCAAACUCCUACGGGAGGCAGCAGUGAGGAAUAUUGGUCAAUGGGCGAGAGCCUGAACCAGCCAAGUAGCGUGCAGGAUGACGGCCCUAUGGGUUGUAAACUGCUUUUAUAAGGGAAUAAAGUGGGAGUCGUGACUCCUUUUGCAUGUACCUUAUGAAUAAGGACCGGCUAAUUCCGUGCCAGCAGCCGCGGUAAUACGG